GACAGAAAUUUAACCGUCUAAGCCGAGCUCUGUGAUUAACGCACAGAAGAGCUUCAAUGGAAUGAAACUCCAAGUCUCGUCUUCGAAGCUACACAUCUCACAUAGAUGAUGUCCAUCAGGCUACACCAUUUUUGGCUGGACUUGCUGUUGCUGCAGCUGCUCUUGCUAGCAAAUAUGGAAUCCAGGCCUGGCAGUCAUUCAAAGCACGGCCACCAAAACCUAAAAUACGCAAGUUCUACGACGGUGGUUUCCAACCUACAAUGACAAAGAGGGAAGCUGCUCUUAUCCUUGGUAUUAGGGAGAAUGCAACUCCGGACAAAGUCAAGGAAGCACAUAGGAAAGUAAUGGUUGCAAACCAUCCUGAUGCAGGGGGUAGUCAUUAUCUCGCUUCUAAAAUCAAUGAAGCUAAAGAUGUAAUGCUCGGCAAGACAAAGGGCAGCGGGUCUCCAUUCUGAUAACAUUUAAUAUGCACAAGUCUAGGCAAACUCUGUACAGAUGGAAAAAUAAGUGUGCAGAAUCCUUUAAGGUAUCCCAUUUAUAUUAUGCAAUGCAUGCCAAUGUCUUGAAGUUUCUAUAUCAAAUUGGGCAAAGAAUUUGAGUUGCAAGGGUUGUUUGUACCUGGCAAACUUAACAUUGGCCUAUUUAUAACUGGCCAAUUAUCCCCUUGCUACAGAUAAAUGUGAGACCAUUUUUGUAUUCAAAUACAAUAAAUAUUAGCAAAUUUACAAGGUAUGGUUAUAUGGGAGAA